rnacentral:rRNA from 1 species
AUUGAACGCUGGCGGCAGGCCUAACACAUGCAAGUCGAGCGGAUGAGUGGAGCUUGCUCCAUGAUUCAGCGGCGGACGGGUGAGUAAUGCCUAGGAAUCUGCCUGGUAGUGGGGGACAACGUUUCGAAAGGAACGCUAAUACCGCAUACGUCCUACGGGAGAAAGUGGGGGAUCUUCGGACCUCACGCUAUCAGAUGAGCCUAGGUCGGAUUAGCUAGUUGGUGAGGUAAAGGCUCACCAAGGGGACGAUCCGUAACUGGUCUGAGAGGAUGAUCAGUCACACUGGAACUGAGACACGGUCCAGACUCCUACGGGAGGCAGCAGUGGGGAAUAUUGGACAAUGGGCGAAAGCCUGAUCCAGCCAUGCCGCGUGUGUGAAGAAGGUCUUCGGAUUGUAAAGCGCUUUAAGUUGGGAGGAAGGGCAGUAAGUUAAUACCUUGCUGUUUUGACGUUACCAACAGAAUAAGCACCGGCUAACUUCGUGCCAGCCGCCGCGGUAAAAC